rnacentral:rRNA from 1 species
UUUUUCCCCCUAACCCCGCUGAACUUAAGCAACAGGGAUUGCCCUAGUAACGGCGAGUGAAGCGGCAACAGCUCAAAUUUGAAAUCUGGCGUCUUCGGCGUCCGAGUUGUAAUUUGCAGAGGGCGCUUUGGCAUUGGCAGCGGUCCAAGUUCCUUGGAACAGGACGUCACAGAGGGUGAGAAUCCCGUACGUGGUCGCUAGCCUUUACCGUGUAAAGCCCCUUCGACGAGUCGAGUUGUUUGGGAAUGCAGCUCUAAAUGGGAGGUAAAUUUCUUCUAAAGCUAAAUACUGGCCAGAGACCGAUAGCGCACAAGUAGAGUGAUCGAAAGAUGAAAAGCACUUUGGAAAGAGAGUUAAAAAGCACGUGAAAUUGUUGAAAGGGAAGCGCUUGCAGCCAGACUUGCCUGUAGUUGCUCAUCCGGGUUUUUACCCGGUGCACUCUUCUAUAGGCAGGCCAGCAUCAGUUUGGGCGGUUGGAUAAAGGUCUCUGUCAUGUACCUCUCUUCGGGGAGAACUUAUAGGGGAGACGACAUGCAACCAGCCUGGACUGAGGUCCGCGCAUCUGCUAGGAUGCUGGCGUAAUGGCUGUAAGCGGCCCGUCUUGAAACACGGACCAAGGAGUCUAACAUCUAUGCGAGUGUUUGGGUGUCAAGCCCGAGCGCGUAAUGAAAGUGAACGGAGGUGGGAACCUUUCGGGGUGCACCAUCGACCGAUCCUGAUGUCUUCGGAUGGAUUUGAGUAAGAGCAUAGCUGUUGGGACCCGAAAGAUGGUGAACUAUGCUUGAAUAGGGUGAAGCCAGAGGAAACUCUGGUGGAGGCUCGCAGCGGUUCUGACGUGCAAAUCGAUCGUCAAAUUUGGGCAUAGGGGCGAAAGACUAAUCGAACUAUCUAGUAGCUGGUUCCUGCCGAAGUUUCCCUCAGGAUA